AACGUUGUUGCAGUUAAAAAGCUCGUAGUUGAAAUGAAGGGUAGUUGUGUAAUGAAUACAUUCGUGUAUUUUGUUAUUCUACUACCCUCCUUCUAAAUUCGAUAUAUGAGUAUUAAUUUACUUGUAUAUGGUUUUAGACCUUUACUGUGAGAAAAUUAGAGUGUUCAAAGCAGGCAUUUGCUUGAAUAUAUUAGCAUGGAAUAAUCAUGUAUGAUUUUCAUGAUGUAUUUGAUUGGUUUGGUUCAUGAGAAUAAGAUUAAAAGGGACAGUUGGGGGUAUUCAUAUUCAAUAGUCAGAGGUGAAAUUCUCGGAUUUAUGGAAGAUGA
rnacentral:rRNA from 1 species